rnacentral:rRNA from 1 species
GACGAACGCUGGCGGCGUGCUUAACACAUGCAAGUCGAACGGAAAGGCCCUGCUUUUGUGGGGUGCUCGAGUGGCGAACGGGUGAGUAACACGUGAGUAACCUGCCCUUGACUUUGGGAUAACUUCAGGAAACUGGGGCUAAUACCGGAUAGGAGCUCCUGCUGCAUGGUGGGGGUUGGAAAGUUUCGGCGGUUGGGGAUGGACUCGCGGCUUAUCAGCUUGUUGGUGGGGUAGUGGCUUACCAAGGCUUUGACGGGUAGCCGGCCUGAGAGGGUGACCGGCCACAUUGGGACUGAGAUACGGCCCAGACUCCUACGGGAGGCAGCAGUGGGGAAUAUUGCACAAUGGGCGGAAGCCUGAUGCAGCAACGCCGCGUGCGGGAUGACGGCCUUCGGGUUGUAAAACGCUUUCGCCUGUGACGAAGCGUGAGUGACGGUAAUGGGUAAAGAAGCACCGGCUAACUACGUGCCAGCAGCCGCGGUGAUACGUAGGGUGCGAGCGUUGUCCGGAUUUAUUGGGCGUAAAGGGCUCGUAGGUGGUUGAUCGCGUCGGAAGUGUAAUCUUGGGGCUUAACCCUGAGCGUGCCUUCGAUACGGGUUGACUUGAGGAAGGUAGGGGAGAAUGGAAUUCCUGGUGGAGCGGUGGAAUGCGCAGAUAUCAGGAGGAACACCAGUGGCGAAGGCGGUUCUCUGGGCCUUUCCUGACGCUGAGGAGCGAAAGCGUGGGGAGCGAACAGGCUUAGAUACCCUGGUAGUCCACGCUGUAAACGGUGGGUACUAGGUGUGGGGUCCAUUCCACGGGUUCCGUGCCGUAGCUAACGCUUUAAGUACCCCGCCUGGGGAGUACGGCCGCAAGGCUAAAACUCAAAGGAAUUGACGGGGCCCCGCACAAGCGGCGGAGCAUGCGGAUUAAUUCGAUGCAACGCGUAGAACCUUACCUGGGUUUGACAUGGAUCGGGAGUGCUCAGAGAUGGGUGUGCCUCUUUUGGGGUCGGUUCACAGGUGGUGCAUGGCUGUCGUCAGCUCGUGUCGUGAGAUGUUGGGUUAAGUCCCGCAACGAGCGCAACCCUUGUUCACUGUUGCCAGCACGUUAUGGUGGGGACUCAGUGGAGACCGCCGGGGUCAACUCGGAGGAAGGUGGGGAUGACGUCAAGUCAUCAUGCCCCUUAUGUCCAGGGCUUCACGCAUGCUACAAUGGCUGGUACAGAGAGUGGCGAGCCUGUGAGGGUGAGCGAAUCUCGGAAAGCCGGUCUCAGUUCGGAUUGGGGUCUGCAACUCGACCUCAUGAAGUCGGAGUCGCUAGUAAUCGCAGAUCAGCAACGCUGCGGUGAAUACGUUCCCGGGGCU